rnacentral:rRNA from 1 species
UACGGAGGGUGCAAGCGUUAUCCGGAUUCACUGGGUUUAAAGGGCGCGUAGGCGGCCAGCACAAGUCAGUUGUGAAAUCUCCGAGCUUAACUCGGAAAGGUCAACUGAUACUGUGCGGCUAGAGUGCGGAAGGGGCAACUGGAAUUCUUGGUGUAGCGGUGAAAUGCGUAGAUAUCAAGAGGAACACCUGCGGCGAAGGCGGGUUGCUGGGCCGACACUGACGCUGAUGCGCGAAAGCUAGGGGAGCGAACGGG